AAGUCGAACGGAAAGGCCCUUCGGGGUACUCGAGUGGCGAACGGGUGAGUAACACGUGGGUGAUCUGCCCUGCACUUUGGGAUAAGCCUGGGAAACUGGGUCUAAUACCGGAUAGGACUACGGCCUGCAUGGGUUGUGGUGGAAAGCUUUUGCGGUGUGGGAUGGGCCCGCGGCCUAUCAGCUUGUUGGUGAGGUUAUGGCUUACCAAGGCGACGACGGGUAGCCGGCCUGAGAGGGUGUCCGGCCACACUGGGACUGAGAUACGGCCCAGACUCCUACGGGAGGCAGCAGUGGGGAAUAUUGCACAAUGGGCGCAAGCCUGAUGCAGCGACGCCGCGUGAGGGAUGACGGCCUUCGGGUUGUAAACCUCUUUCAGCUCCGACGAAGCGCAAGUGACGGUAGGGGUAGAAGAAGGACCGGCCAACUACGUGCCAGCAGCCGCGGUAAUACGUAGGGUCCGAGCGUUGUCCGGAAUUACUGGGCGUAAAGAGCUCGUAGGUGGUUUGUCGCGUUGUUCGUGAAAACUCACAGCUUAACUGUGGGCGUGCGGGCGAUACGGGCAGACUUGAGUACUGCAGGGGAGACUGGAAUUCCUGGUGU
rnacentral:rRNA from 1 species